rnacentral:rRNA from 1 species
GUGUCAGCAGCCGCGGUAAUACGUAGGGGGCGAGCGUUGUCCGGAAUUACUGGGUGUAAAGGGCGCGUAGGCGGGUUGUUAAGUCAGAUGUGAAAUUACGGAGCUCAACUCCGUGCCUGCAUCUGAAACUGGCGAUCUUGAGUGCAGUAGAGGUAAGUGGAAUUCCUAGUGUAGCAGUGAAAUGCGUAGAUAUUAGGAGGAACACCAGUGGCGAAGGCGGCUUACUGGGCUGUAACUGACGCUGAGGCGCGAAAGCGUGGGGAGCAAACAGGAUUAGAUACCCUGGUAGUCCACGCCGUAAACGAUGGAUACUAGGUGUAGGAGGUAUCGACCCCUUCUGUGCCGCAGUUAACACAAUAAGUAUCCCACCUGGGGAGUACGGCCGCAAGGUUGAA